rnacentral:rRNA from 1 species
UAGGGAAUCUUCGGCAAUGGGGGGAACCCUGACCGAGCAACGCCGCGUGAGUGAAGAAGGUUUUCGGAUCGUAAAGCUCUGUUGUUAAGGAAGAACGAGUGUGAGAAUGGAAAGUUCAUGCUGUGACGGUACUUAACCAGAAAGGGACCGCUAACUACGUGCCAGCAGCCGCGGUAAUACGUAGGUCCCGAGCGUUGUCCGGAUUUAUUGGGCGUAAAGCGAGCGCAGGCGGUUAGAAAAGUCUGAAGUGAAAGGCAGUGGCUCAACCAUUGUAGGCUUUGGAAACUGUUUAACUUGAGUGCAGAAGCGGAGAGUGGAAUUCCAUGUGUAGCGGUGAAAUGCGUAGAUAUAUGGAGGAACACCGGUGGCGAAAGCGGCUCUCUGGUCUGUAACUGACGCUGAGGCUCGAAAGCGUGGGGAGCGAACAGG